UACGUAGGAUCCAAGCGUUAUCCGGAUUUAUUGGGUUUAAAGGGUGCGUAGGCGGUCUUGUAAGUCAGAGGUGAAAGACUGUAGCUUAACUAUAGUUAGCCUUUGAUACUGCUAGACUUGAGUACAGAUGAGGUAGGCGGAAUGUGUAGUGUAGCGGUGAAAUGCUUAGAUAUUACACAGAACACCGAUUGCGAAGGCAGCUUACUAAACUGAAACUGACGCUGAGGCACGAAAGCGUGGGGAGCAAACAGG
rnacentral:rRNA from 1 species